UCUUAUCAAGAGUGACAGAGGGAACAGGCCCAAUGAAGUCCGACAACCUGCCGAAAGCGGUAAGGUGCCAAAUCCUGCGGUGCAAGCCGAAAGAUAAG
rnacentral:ncRNA from 1 species